GCGACCCAACGCCCCGCCCACCAAGCGGAAGUGACGCCAUCGAUCUAGCGCGUCGAGAAUACCUCUAUGGUUCUUCUCCUGUUUGUGAGAGGGGGAAAUGGCCGCUGUGCAGCUACUGCGGAGAUAAGUGCUGAAAUCCGCGUUUGGCCGGUCAGGAAUUGGGAUUUAGAAUUUAAAUUUCUGAGAACGUUAUCCCAGGAAGAGUUUUACAGUGUUUCAAAGACAUCACUUGGCUACUUGCCAUUUAUCAGAACCUAAGUAGGAAUAAUCCACUGGAAGAAAUGGGUCGUUCCAACUCUAGAUCACAUUCUUCAAGAUCGAAGUCCAGAUCACAGUCUAGUUCCAGGUCAAGGUCCAGAUCACAUUCUAGAAAGAAGAGAUACAGUUCUAGGUCUCGUUCCAGGACGUAUUCACGAUCUCGGAGUAGAGAUCGUGUUUAUUCUAGAGAUUAUCGACGAGAUUACAGAAAUAAUAGAGGAAUGAGAAGGCCUUAUGGGUACAGAGGAAGGGGUAGAGGGUAUUAUCAAGGAGGUGGUGGUAGAUAUCAUCGAGGUGGCUAUAGACCUGUCUGGAAUAGAAGACACUCACGGAGCCCUAGACGGGGUCGUUCACGUUCCAGGAGUCCAAAACGAAGAUCUGUGUCUUCUCAGAGAUCUAGAAGCCGAUCUCGCCGGUCUUACAGAUCUUCCAGGUCUCCAAGGUCAUCUUCAUCUCGCUCAUCAUCCCCAUAUAGCAAGUCACCAGUCUCCUCAAAAAGGCGAGGGUCUCUUGAAAAGCAGACCAAAAAACCUGAAGGGGCUCCCCCAGAAGACAGCCCUUUGAAAAACAAAUCACAGGAUGAACAGAAAGAUACAUUUGAACAUGACCCCUCUGAACCCAUUGAUGAUUUUAAUAAAUCAUCAGCGGCAUCUGGUGACAUUUGGCCUGGUCUUUCAGCAUAUGAUAAUAGUCCAAGAUCACCUCACAGCCCUUCUCCUGUUGCUACACCACCUAGUCAGAGUUCAUCUUGUUCUGAUGCUCCCAUGCUCAGCACAGCCCACUCUGCAAAAAAUACUCCUUCUCAGCAUUCACAUUCCAUUCAACAUAGUCCCGAGAGGUCUGGAUCUGGUUCCCUUGGAAAUGGUUCGAGUCGCUACAGUCCCUCUCAGAAUAGCCCAAUCCAUCACAUACCUUCACGAAGAAGCCCUGCAAAGACAAUCCCACCACAGAAUGUUCCAAGAGAAGAAACUAGAAUUCGUUCAUUUUAUCCUGAUGGUGGAGAUCAGGAAACUGCAAAGACUGGAAAGUUUUUAAAAAGGUACACAGAUGAAGAGUCUAGAGUAUACCUGCUUGAUAGGGGUAAUACCAGGGAGAAAGAGGCCCAGAAGGAGAAAGGAACAGAAAAAGGGAGGGCAGAGGGAGAAUGGGAGGAUCAGGAAACUUUAGAUUAUUUCAGUGAUAAAGAGGCUGGAAAACGAAAGUUUAAUGAUUCAGAAGGGGAUGACACAGAGGAGACUGAGGAUUAUAGACAGUUCAGGAAGUCUGUCCUGGCAGAUCAGGGUAAAAAUUUUGCUACUGCAUCUCAUCGGAAUGCUGAGGAGGAAGGAGCCAAGUACAAAUCUAAAGUUUCACUGAAGGGCAAUAGAGAAAGUGAUGGAUUUAGAGAAGAUAAAAAUUAUAAACUUAAAGAGACUGGAUAUGUAGUGGAAAGGCCUAGCACUACAAAAGAUAAGCACAAGGAAGACGACAAAAGUUCUGAGAGAAUAAUGGUGAAGAAAGAAACUCAGUCACCUGAGCAGGUAAAGUCUGAAAAGCUCAAAGAACUCUUUGAUUACAGUCCCCCUCUACACAAGAAUCUGGAGGCGAGAGAAAAGUCUACCUUCAGAGAGGAGAGUCCACUUAGGAUCAAAAUGAUAGCCAGUGAUUCUCAUCGCCCUGAAGUCAAACUCAAAAUGGCACCCGUACCUCUUGAUGAUUCCAACAGACCUGCUUCCUUGACUAAAGACAGGCUGCUUGCUAGUACACUUGUCCAUUCUGUCAAGAAGGAACAAGAAUUCCGGUCCAUCUUUGACCACAUUAAGUUGCCACAGGCCAGCAAAAGCACUUCAGAGUCAUUUAUUCAGCACAUUGUGUCCUUGGUUCAUCAUGUUAAAGAGCAAUACUUCAAAUCAGCUGCAAUGACCCUAAAUGAAAGAUUCACCUCAUAUCAGAAGGCCACUGAAGAACAUAGCACCCGGCAAAAAAGCCCAGAGAUACACAGGAGAAUUGACAUCUCUCCGAGUGCCCUGAGGAAGCAUACCCGCUUAUCAGGAGAAGAGAGAGUUUUUAAAGAAGAAAAUCAAAAGGGAGAUAAAAAAUUAAGGUGUGAUUCUGCUGAUCUUCGACAUGACAUUGAUCGUCGCAGAAAAGAAAGAAGUAAAGAACGGGGAGAUUCCAAGGGCUCCAGGGAAUCCAGUGGAUCCAGAAAGCAAGAAAAAACUAAAGAUUACAAAGAAUACAAAUCUUACAAAGAUGACAGUAAACAUAAAAGCAGAGAGCAGGACCGUUCUCGAUCUUCAUCCUCUUCAUCAUCAUCUUCCUCAGCCAGUUCUCGAGAAGAAAAGGACAGUAAGAAGGAAAGAGAAGAAGAGUUUAAAACCCAUCAUGAACCAAAAGAAUAUUCAGGCUUUACAGGAGUCAGCCGGCCCAGAGGAACUUUUUUUCGAAUUAGAGGCAGAGGAAGAGCCAGAGGAGUUUUUGCUGGGACAAAUACUGGUCCAAACAACUCAAAUACUACUUUUCAAAAGAGACCGAAGGAAGAGGAAUGGGAUCCAGAAUAUACCCCAAAGAGCAAGAAGUACUUCUUGCAUGACGACAGGGAUGAUGGUGUGGAUUAUUGGGCCAAAAGAGGAAGAGGCCGUGGCACUUUCCAACGUGGCAGAGGGCGGUUUAACUUCAAAAAAUCAGGUAGCAGUCCAAAAUGGACACAUGACAAAUACCAAGGGGAUGGGAUUGUUGAAGAUGAAGAAGAGACGAUGGAAAAUAAUGAAGAAAAGAAGGACAGACGCAAAGAAGAAAAGGUAGAAAAUUCCAACUUGUCAGUGAAUUGAAGAGCAGAUUUCCUUCAGUAUGGGCUAGGAGGGUGACGAUUUGCUAAAACUAGUAAAUCUAAUUUUAUAAACAGAGCUUGCUAUGGUUUAUAAAUUGUAUGUAGUUCCCCCCCUGGCUCUGUUAAUCUUCAUUUUCUGUGUUUUUUAUUAUAGGAAUAGUAAAUCUGAAGUAAGAUUGCAACUGAGAGCAGAACUUGCACCCACCAUUUUUUUACGUGAUUUUUUUGUUUUCAAAAACGAAUACUUCCUUUUGCCCAGAGAAGGGAAACAAAAUGAACCAAAGGAUGUUUCCAGGAAGGAUUAAGAAAGCUGCUUAAUCACAAGAAGGCCAUGACUCAGUUCUUAGCCACAGACUACAGCCCAUCCCUGGCCAUCCAGAUUUGUAAACAUAUCCUACUGGUUGAAAAGGAGAAUAUGAGAACAGCACAAAUCCAUCACCACUCCUGGAAAAACAACUCAGAGUACUCACCUCAUUAUCUAGUCCUUGGAUUUGAAGGGUAAUAGUCUUUGCUGUUUUAUUUGAAUUAGUAAGGAAAGAAUUUGUUUUAAACCUGUUUAGCAAUUCUCGAGUACUUGUAAAGGAAACAUUUGUUGCAUUUUGUAGUUUUUUGGUAAGAAGCUGAAUAUAAUCACCAGUAUCAUUUCUGCAUAAAGAAAAAAGGAUAUAUGCUUUUUGAAGGUUUUGGGUUUUUUUAACCUUAGUGAUUAUGAUUAUCUAAAUGGAUUGUCCUGGCAGUCCUUGAGUGACAAAAUUUAAUUCACUUUUUUUAUGUAAAAGAAAUUGCAUAAGGAACCAGUUACUGUCACAGUGUCUGUUCCUUCCUCUGUGUUUCUCCAUUAAAAAACUAGGAAAUGCCUAUUGUUUAAUGAAAGAAAAUAUUAUAACCUAAGUUGUAACUGUCAAGGUUAGUAGUAAUUUGAAUUAUGUACACAUUACUUUUUUUCAAAACACUUUCAUGUCCCUAUGGUUAAUUUUGAGAUGUAGAUAGUAGAUGUGAGAUUAAAAUUUGGGUCUCAAUUCCAUUUUACAUACAGACCUAAUAUUAAAUAGGAAGAAAAAUAGCUAUAGACUGUGAUAAAGAGAUAUCUUGAGUCCAUGACUGAAAUUUUAGCUCUAGACUGUACCCCAUAGUAUAUUUACCUGCAUGAAAAGUAUUUUCCCAGUGAAAAAGGAAAGGAGCAGUAAAAAUCUUAUCAGAACAUGAUAAAAAGAAAGUCCCUGCUCAUUUGCCUUGUUUAGAAAGGAUAAAAUACAACUAUGUUUGGCACUAAAGUUUCUUCAGAGCUUGGCUUCAGCCUCUACUUUUCCAAGAUGAUUCAAGCCAUAUUGGACUAUGUACUUUAUGCUGUUGACAUCCCUUUUCUGUUUCACUGGCCCUGAAUGUUCACUGAAGACAAGCCCCCCCCCCCCCCCCCCAUUUUGUAUGUUUCUUACUAAAGAAUAAAGUCAAUUUCUAGUGAGUAAACUUUAUUUACCUAUGUAAACCUUUGCAAAUUUAGAAUAUCAGUGUCAAAUAAGCCAACAUGAUCAGAAUGACUCAGAGAUCAGUUCUGUAUCCCUUAUGUCAUGCUUCUUCUCAUGAUGUAUAUUAUGCUAUGUUUUAUGUACAAAUUACCUCUCCCUUUUUCAACAGAAUGUAAUCUUGUUGAUCUUUCAUUUUUGUCUAGUAUUAUUCCUGGCAAAGAGCAGGCAAUUAACAAAUUCCUAUAGAGUAAAAGAAUGAAUUAGUAACAUUACUGGAAUCAAUUCAACUUGAAUACAAAGUUGGGGCCUUCAGCAUUUUUACAUUCACUCUCUUUAGCCUUUGCUGAAGGAUCAAUGAAAAACUGAGCAGAUGAGUUGUUUUCUCUAAAGACACUAAAACACACCCAUAAAACUCUUUUUUUUAAGUUGAAUAUUCAACUUCAAAAUUACAUUUCAUUUUUCUGAAACCAUAUUCCUGAAGGUUAUAUAUACAUGUACAGAGUCAAUAAGUUCCUGGUAAGGGUGGUGACAGAAAAGUUAAAAAACUUCAGCAUGGAUAUUUUCACUUGAUUUUAAAAUCCUUCAAUGAGUGAAGAGGCAACAUUCUUCUCCCUAUUAGAAACCUCAGCCAACUAAGAAAAGUGGUGAGGAAUUAGCAGUGGCAGGUGAUAAAGUUUGAUGAUCUUUUGAGGUUCUUAUUGGAAACCUUUGAUAAUGUGAGGUAUAAAGGUGUGUUUAUCGAGCUAGUAGAGAAAAAAGUAAUUUGUAUACCGGUAUAGUUUAGGUCUCACUAGAAAAAUCAGUAGAGUUGGAAGAGAUUUAAUAGAUCAUUUUGAAUUCUAAAAACUCAUUUCCAUCAAUUAGUUUCUAGUAUUUUUAUGUAAAUCUGGAUUUUUACAUUUGCUAUAUAAGAAACAUAGAAACAGCUCUCAUAGGAGGUUCUUGAUUUAAUCAAGUAUUGUGAGCAUGAUUAUCUGGUUUCCCUUGUCACCUCUGAAAUUUACUGAGUUAGCAAUGAAGAACAAAUUUUAUAAUUUAAUAUGGAAUAAAGAUAUUUAGAAUAAAAGUUAGUGAUACAUAAUAAGACUACAAAGAAAUAAUAAUAAUAGAUGAUAACAGUAAAGCUUGCAUUUAUAUUGUACUUUAAGUUUGGAAAGUGCUUUAUAAAUAUUCUCAUUUGAUCCUCAUAGCAACUUUGGGGGAAUAGGUGCUAUUAUUACCCCCAUUUUACAGAUAAGGAAAUUGAUGCAAACAAACGUUAAAAGUGGUUUUGCUCAGGGUCAACACAAUGAGGUAGGAAUCAAAUACUGGUAUUACCUUGACUCCAAAUCCACUAUGGCACCUUUUGCAUGCUUUUUUUUUUUUGAACAGUGUACUACAUCUUUAUAGUAAGGCAGCUAACAUAUAAGAUUCUCCUAAGGUAGCUGAUGUCUGAGUUUAGUAUAGCAAAAUGCAAGCAUGAAUGGCUUUUAGAUAAUUUUUGAGUGUAGAAAAACUUUAAUAAGGGAUCCAUGAUAGAUAUGACCCAACGUAUACUGAAAGCUUAGUAUGCUAAUUGAGUAUCAGUUAUUAAUGACAAAGUCAGCUGUAAAGCAGGAUUUUUAAUACAUGCUCCACAGUUUCAUGAAAGCUGUCCCACAUAGGUCAAAAUCAAAGAAUUUUGUGUUAAUGGUGAAGUUCUCCAAAAAUUCCUUUUCACAGAUGACAAUGAUUAUAUCAAAUCUAGAAUAUUACAAAACCUUUCCAGGAAUGGUGAAAGUUGAGCUAUCUACAUUGGAGAAUUAAAGUGAAUGAAAAAAGUGCCCAUAACCCCUCAUGCUAAAUAGUUAAAUAAUAAGCUCACUUGCUUUUCACAACAACACUAUUAGAUAGGUUACUGUAAUUAUCCCUGUUUUAUAAGUAAAGUUAUAACCAAAUCUACAUAGCCUAGUGUCUUAUCAAAUCCAGGUCUUCUUGACUUCAAAUUAUUGUUCAGUUCACCAUAUCACACUAUCUUGACAUGUAUGUCAUAAAAGAAUUUUAAUAUAACGAGCUCAGAAAUGAAUCAAAGUUGGAGAUGAGCAUGGAAUGUAAUUAGGAAAUAGCACAGGACUUAUAAUAGCAAACUGUUUAUUGUCACAUGUCCAUCUCUUACACUAAUAUUAUGGUGUUGCUACAUUUUUGUGAAUUCUUAAAAAGUUUAAAAGAUGCAUAGUGGAUAUAAAUAAAUAUUGAUAAAGACUUGGUAUAAAAUGUUACUAUGUUAUUAAUGGCCAGAAAUCUAAAUAGGCUGAUCUCAUGGUAUAAUGAUGGCAAUUCUAGUACUAACACUUAUUUUAAAAGGGCAGUAAAGGGGGAAGCUAGGUGGAUAGAGAGCCAUACCUAGAGAUGAGAGGUUCUGGGUUCAAAUGUGCCCUCAGGCACUUCCUAGCUAUGUGAUCUAAGUUGCCUAGCUCUCACUGCCAAACUUUCCUUGCAUUAUGUCAAUUAGAAUGGAAUUCUGAAAGAUAAUUGUGUGCCCACACAAUGGAAAAGACUGGGCAGUAAGUACCCUUUUAUAUAAGGAAAGGUCACUUUUCUGGUGGUAAGUUAAAAAUGAAAAAUCUGAUUCCAAAUCUAAGGUAAAAUUUGAGUAUAUUCAAAUAUAUUAAUACUUUAGAAGUACUUUAUAUACAUUGUUAAUUCAAUUUAAAAUAACAGAUUUCCUAGAUCCUUUGAGUGUUUCCCCUUUUGGGGGAGAGGGCAGAGAAUAUUAUUUCAUUUUUCAACAUUUGAUGGCAUAAAAAAUAAGAAAGUGUAGCUGAUGAAAAAUGCCAGAUGUGGGAGAAUUCAAAUCAAAAACAACAACAUGGUAAGAAAAAGAGUAUUUUAUCCUGUCAGAUUAAAUGAUGUAACACUAAUAUUCCUCUUCCUACGAACAAAAUCAUUCCUAAAUGAGUGUGGCUUCAAGGAAGAGGAUAAACUGAAACAUUCAAAUUCUUCCUUUUGAAAUAAAUACUUAUAUUUAUAUAAUCCCACAGAAUUGUAAGUAUAAGUGAUUUUACAAAGUUCCUUGAUUUUAAAAUGAGCUAUAGUAAAAUCUCUUGGAUUCUCAGGGAUGGAGUGUAAGUGGCAUGAAUGUUUAAGCUGAGGAGAGAUUAAGAAAAAAAGUGUUGGUUUUGGUAUUAGCACUUUAAAGUUUGUAAGGUGUUUUACACACCUGAUCUCAUUUGGUUCUUAACAAAAAUCCUCUGAAGUAGGUGCUAUCAUUCUCUUUUUACAUUUGAGAACACUGAAGCUUAAGAUGAUUAAAUGACUUUGUAUAUAAUCACACAAUUGGUUACACAAAAAGUAUAUGAUUUAGGAAUUGAAGCACUUGAUUAUUCAAUACUUUAUCAUUGUGCCCCUAUGUGAUGUUUCUUAUUAACUAAGGAUAUUAAAUAGGAAUAAUAAGGAUAUUACAAGAAAUGAAUAAAUUAUGCUUCUGGCAUUUUAAGGACACCCUGCUCCCUGCUUCCCGCCCCCUCUCCCCCAGCUUUCUGGUCCACUUGAAAUUCAGUAUUGACCUGGACCUUCUCUGUUGUAUCACGGUCCUAUAAACUGCACUCUGAACCGUGGCUUUGUACAUGAGAGUCAACUACAACAAAUAAUAAUGCCCUUAUUUUGGUAGUACUUUGCUGAGGAUGGUGAAGUAGACAAAAAAUAAAGUGGCCCCUACUCUGAAAGUGUUGAUGCUCUCCUGAUUUUACUGAAGUGUUUGAUUUUACUAUUGUUCUCCUACUUAGCUAAUGACCUCAACCAUCUGAGGCAGCCAAUGCUGGUACUUAACUCAGUUUUCCCACAUCCAUAUUUCAUCCCUGUCUUGGAUUCUUAAUCUAGUCUAUAGCCAUUUCAAAGGUCUGCAAAGAGAUAACACUUCCUAUGUGUUCAAAACCUCUCUACCCUGGGCCCAAAUGAAGGGUCUGGCUUCACUACCAAGACUUGAUGCUCAAUUCUAUCACCUCAUUAUUUUUAGUUCCUUAUAGUUUGGACUUUAGUAUUGCACUGAAGCUGCUUUCAGAGGUUACUUAACUUUCAAACCCUUUGAACUCUGCAAUGUUACAAUGCUGGCUAUUCCUUUUUUCUAGAUACUGUUCUCAGUUUGCUUCUGUGUAACAGCAUUUAGGGUUUUUGUCUUUUAAAGCUCCCCUUUUCCCUCAUGUUCUUCAAAGUCAGGGAAUUCCCCAAAGGUUUGUAUUUGGUUAUCUUCUUCUCUACACAUCCUCAGUGAAGGAAUUUCCAUAGUUUCAGUUAGAACUCUGUGAGGAACUUCCCAAAAUGGACCUACUCAAGCUCCAGACUCACAUUUACAACUAGCAUGUGUGCCCAGCUUUCAGACUCUUUCUAUGACCUGGAUUCAUCAUUUUUUACCCCCCCCCCCCAAACCUGUUCUACUUUUAGCUUCCUUAUUCUUUUUUUAAAGGAGCCUCAAUUUUUUUCUUAUCACACUGGCUUAAAAUUCCAGUAACUAAACUACUGUUAAAAAAAUUAUUUUACACUUUAGAAUCAAUACUAAGUAUCAGUUCCAAGGCAGAAGAGCAGUUAGGGUUAAGCAAUGGAAGUUAAGUGACUUGCCCAGGGUCACAGAGCUAGGAAGCAUCUUGAGGUCAGAUUUGAAACCAAGACUUCCUAUCUCUAGGGCUUGCUAUCAAUCCACUGAGCCACCUAGCUGGGUCCUACACUACUUCUUUAUCCGAAUGUUCAUUUGUAAUUUCUAAUCUGCUUUCUACUCCCACUGCUCCCAUCUUGGUAUUCUUUCAUGGUAGAGGCAUUUCUAAAAUUGAAAUCUACUCUUAAAGGUCAAAAAUACCACCAGGGUGAGCAGGAUUAUAGAAUUUAGCACCAAACUACACUCCCCUCUUCAUAGAUUAGGAAACAGGUCCAGAAACAUCGAGUAUGUAGGCAUUACAGGCAAGCCCACAAAAGGAGUUAAAUUGGCAUCUUAGAAUUAUGUAUAUAGAUUUUGUAAAGCCUACACCCUAUGAGGGAUGAUGGUUAUUUUGAUCUGUAUGUUCUAUAAUGAGUCCUAGUGGGGUGGGAGAGAGGGAAAAUAUGAUAUAAUAAGAAUAAACCAUUUAUUAAAUGCCUGCUGUGUGCUGCCAUGUACUAUGCUACCAACAAGCAAAACAGUUCUACUCUUAAGGAAUACUUAUAAUAGCUAAUGUUUGUUAAUGUUUAAAGUUUUUACAGUUCUCAAUUGAUCUUCAUACCAAUCCUGGGACGUAGAUAAUGUCCACACUUUACAGAUAAGGAAACUGAGGCAAACAGGUUAAGUGACUUGCCCAGGGUCACACAGCUAGUAAGUAUCCCAAGCUGGACUUGACUCAGGCCUUCCUGAUUCUAGGCCCAGUGCUCUAUCUGCUGUAUCAUCUAGCAUCUUUUUAAGGUGGGAGCUGAGAUGGGUGGGUUGGAGUUUUCUGCAUUAUGUCAUUUCCCUGCCUCCAAACUUAAAUUCUGCCUUACAUGUUCAAAUUCCACUAUAAUCUGGACUGAUGCUUCUACUAGUCUGACAUCUGAGCUUUCUGCCCUAGUUUGGACAGCUCCCUGAUACCAAAGCAACAAAAUAUGCUCUUUCCCAGCUCUGUUUCCUUUGUUUUUAUUGUGAACCUUUUCUCUUUCUAAAUUUUAUUCUUUCAAAGUCUAGUUAAAUAAGAUUUUAUCUCUUCUACAAUGCCUUCCUAUUUAGGAUUACAGGAUUAAGAUACUAAAAAUCUAAUCCAAUGCCUUAAUUUUAUGACAAAACUGAGGUGGCCUGGAGAACUUAAAUGAUUUAUCCAAGAUUAUCCAGUUAAGUAAAAAGCAUAGGUAAGAUCUCAACCCACUUGUGAUAUUAAGACUUUCUGUUCUUAACUAUUUCCUAAUUCUCAUUGAUUUCUCUUUUUUCAGCUCCUAUAGUCUGAACCAUACAAUUUAGUUAAUGGCUGUUUUAAAUUGUUAAUUUAGAUAUUAGUCUUUUCCAACUAAAUGGUGAAUUGCUUGAGUGUAGAGUCUUAAUUGCAAAUCUAGUAUAUGUGCUGACAAAGUAAAUACCUAAUUAAAAAUUUAUCCAUGUGUUCCAUAGGCUAUCAUUGAUUUCUGUACUUAAUAAGUACACACUCACUGAUUUGCUUAGUCAAUAAUUAUGAAAGGCAAAGAUGUUGUACUAUUGAAUGCACAUUACAAGAGUGUUUACAUCUGUCUUUACACUCCCCUUGGAAGUUACUGAGCAUCUUUUGCCCUCUUCUCUGUUGCAUGUGUUAACUGUUUUAAUUGUCAUAAUGUAAGUGAGACAUUUCACAGUACUAAUUUAAGAACACUCAUUCAGACUUUUAGGGAAUAGUAAAUUGCUGUAACUUAAGAUUUUAUAAUGCACAGAAGCAGUGAUUGAAGGUCUUCAUUAAGUUCUUAGGCAUUACUAACUUCCAUUAGUUGAAAGAUACUGAGGUAUUGCAUUCAUUAUUUUAUAUGAAUAAAACUCAUUUAUGUUUAAAUAAUUUCUCUCAAAUUUUCCUAAUUGCCUAAAAGGCAACACUUUUAAAAGAAUUUCUUAAGGUAUUUAGAUAAGUAGUCAUAAGAACACAUGAUAUUAGAGGCAAAUAAUGAAUAAAAGAAAUACUUUCUAUAAUGGUAAAAAUAAGUAUGCAUAAGCAAAAUAUGGAGGAAGGGAAAAGAAUUGACCUGUUAACUGUACAAUGAAAAAAUACAUCAAAAUAAGCUUUUAGGUUUUUUACAAGAAUUCUUUUUAUACUAUUCUCUUUUUAAUGUUUAGAUGAUUAAGAUCAUUACAAUUUUAAUUUUCACUGAAGGAAUAAAUGAAAAUUCCUCACCUGGAGAGAUGAAUGAAUAACUUCAAAAUGAUUCAGAAACAUAAAAAUGGAAUAACACUAUUUUUGUUGUUUCUGUUCUGUGGAUAUGAAACUAAAUCUAACCAACAUACAAUUGGGCAUCUGUGCUUGUAAUUGUAAAUGUAUCUGAAAAUGUGGAAGUGGAGACAAAUGCCAUGUAAUUUAUACUUCAUCUUGAGUUCUUUUGUUUAAAAGCUGUUUUGUUAUUAAUUGGGUAUCUGGAAUUUAAUCCUUAGAUUGUCUUUUGUAUUUACUUUUAACAAGUCUUUAAAUAGUUUCUACUUACUCCUUCCUAUAAACCUAGGUAUAACAACGUGACCUCGCAGAGGAGGUUUUUGACCAUUCAAAAGUUUAAUAAUCCACACAGCAAAAAUCAAAUAAAUAAAAAUGCAUAUUGUUUAGAUCAUGUUGACAUGUUAGGUGGGUAGCCUAUCGAAUUAGUCUUUCAGUACCUUAGUCUUGAAUAAGCAUUUCAAAUGGAAGAUGAGUUAGUUCCCAAAUUGAUAAAGAGGAAGAUAAAAGGCUAAAUUAUAAGACUUUGGAUAAUUUCACAGUGUUUUAAAUAAUCCCAAGAAGCUCCCUGAUAUAAAUCCAUCAAUUUUUCCUCCCUUUAAAUUAAUAAUUUAAACUUAUACUUCUAUCCCACUUGCCUGUCUCACUAAACCUCAUUUUCAUAAAUAUUUGGACAAAACCUAACAACGUUAUUGUGUCUCACAAUAAAGACUUCACUCCAUACUUUUGUGUGUCUUAUUUUUUUAAAAAUUAUUUUCAUUAUACAAAGACUACAGAAACUGUCUCCCACUUUUGAAAGGAAGGUAUGCAUUUUUUCUUUCUGGGAUUCAUAUUGAUCACUAUGAUCUUUGAGCAUCAUUUUAGUGUUUACAUUUACGUUGUCAUGCAUAUUUUUUUCUUGAUUCUACUCUUUAUAGCCCAUAUUUUUUCAUUAUCAUCUUUUUGGUGAUGCUAUAUAUUGGUGAUUUAUGGAACAUUACAUUCUGAGAAGAAUGAAAAACACGAGUGACUUCAAGGUCAAUGGAUAGAUGUGUGAAUUGAGUAUAAGUGAGAUGCAGCCCUAUUAUCAAUGUACAAGAAGUGCUGUAAAAAUGAAGAAUGGAGGCUGAUGGUGUAAUAAUAACCCAAUGAUAAUUGGUAUAUACUCCCAAGUGUGUCAUUGACAGGUAUGAAAAACUACAAGAUUUAAAGUAAGGCUUCAAGCAGAUUGGUUGAUUGCCAUUGGAAGAUUUAAUGACACGAAGACAAAAUUACAUGAAACAAAAAUCACAGGAUGGAAAGCCAAGAAUGGUUUGCAAUCUAAUUUCUGGGAGUGUCCACAAUAAUGAAAUGUGUCCAUUAAAAUCAGUAUUUAAAUAAAGUCUUACAUGCAUGUCAUUAAUGUUAAAUAUUGCUGAUUCCCCCAAGAAGGUAAAGGAGAAAGGGUAAAGAUGUGAGCAAAUUUAAGUGACAUAAAAUCAAUAAAAAAUGUAAAAUAUUUAAA